GAGCCAGCAGCCGUGCAAAUUCCAGCUCCAAUAGCACAUAUUAAUGUUGAUGCGGUUAAAACGAUCGUAGUUGAACCUUGGCCCUGGAUGGCCGGCCCGCCUCACCGCGUGCGCUGGGCCGGCCGGGCCUUUCCCUCUGUGGAACCCCAUACCCUUCACUGGGCGUGUCUGGGAAACAGGACAUUUACUUUGAAAAAAUUAGAGUGCUCCAGGCAGGCCUAUGCUCGAAUACAUUAGCAUGGAAUAAUAAAAUAGGACGCGCGGUUCUAUUUUGUUGGUUUAUAGGACCGCCGUAAUGAUUAAUAGGGACAGUCGGGGGCAUCAGUAUUCAACUGUCAGAGGUGAAAUUCUUGGAUCAGUUGAAGACUAACUACUGCGAAAGCUUUUGCCAAGGAUGUUUUCAUUAAUCAGGAACGAAAGUUAGGGGAUCGAAGACGAUCAGAUACCGUCGUAGUCUUAACCAUAAACUAUGCCGACUAGGGAUCGGACGGUGUUAUUCAUGACCCGUUCGGCACCUUACGAGAAAUCAAAGUGCUUGGGCUCCAGGGGGAGUAUGGUCGCAAGGCUGAAACUUAAAGAAAUUGACGGAAGGGCACCACCAGGGUGGAGCCUGCGCAUAAUUUGACUCACACGGGGAAACUCAUCAGGUCAGACACAGUGAGAUGACAGAUGAGAGCUCUUUCUGAUUUCGUGGGUGAGGUGCAUGGCCGUCUAGUGGUGGGUGACUUGUCUGCUAAUGCGAUA
rnacentral:rRNA from 1 species